rnacentral:rRNA from 1 species
AACCUGCCCAAGAGAUCGGGAUAACACCUGGAAACAGAUGCUAAUACCGGAUAACAAUAGAUGAUGCCUAUCAACUGUUUAAAAGAUGGUUCUGCUAUCACUCUUGGAUGGACCUGCGGUGCAUUAGCUAGUUGGUAGGGUAACGGCCUACCAAGGCGAUGAUGCAUAGCCGAGUUGAGAGACUGAUCGGCCACAUUGGGACUGAGACACGGCCCAAACUCCUACGGGAGGCAGCAGGU